UAGGGAAUCUUCCGCAAUGGGCGAAAGCCUGACGGAGCAACGCCGCGUGAGUGAUGAAGGUCUUCGGAUCGUAAAACUCUGUUAUUAGGGAAGAACAAAUGUGUAAGUAACUAUGCACGUCUUGACGGUACCUAAUCAGAAAGCCACGGCUAACUACGUGCCAGCAGCCGCGGUAAUACGUAGGUGGCAAGCGUUAUCCGGAAUUAUUGGGCGUAAAGCGCGCGUAGGCGGUUUUUUAAGUCUGAUGUGAAAGCCCACGGCUCAACCGUGGGGGGUGAUUGGAAACUGGGAAACUUGAGUGCAGAAGAGGGAAGUGGAAUUCCAUGUGUAGCGGUGAAAUGCGCAGAGAUAUGGAGGAACACCAGUGGCGAAGGCGACUUGCUGGGCUGUAACUGACGCUGAUGUGCGAAAGCGUGGGGAUCAAACAGG
rnacentral:rRNA from 1 species